rnacentral:snRNA from 1 species
UGGUGUUACAGUUCUUUCAGAACUUGUCUAGCAGAUUCUUUGGUUUUCACUGGAAACCCU